rnacentral:rRNA from 1 species
GACGAACGCUGGCGGCGUGCUUAACACAUGCAAGUCGAGCGGAAAGGCCCUGCUUUUGUGGGUUGCUCGAGUGGCGAACGGGUGAGUAACACGUGAGUAACCUGCCCUUGACUUUGUGAUAACUUCAGGAAACUGGGGCUAAUACCGGAUAGGAUCUCCUGCUGCAUGGUGGGGGUUGGAAAGUUUCGGCGGUUGGGGAUGGACUCGCGGCUUAUCAGCUUGUUGGUGGGGUAGUGGCUUACCAAGGCUUUGACGGGUAGCCGGCCUGAGAGGGUUACCGGCCACAUUGGGACUGAGAUACGGACCAGACUCCUACGGGAGGCAGCAGUGGGGAAUAUUGCACAAUGGGCGGAAGCCUGAUGCAGCAACGCCGCGUGCGGGAUGACGGCCUUCGGGUUGUAAACCGCUUUCGCCUGUGACGAAGCGUGAGUGACGGUAAUGGGUAAAGAAGCACCGGCUAACUACGUG